CGUAGGGGGCUAGCGUUGUCCGGAUUUAUUGGGCGUAAAGAGCGUGUAGGCGGCCAAGUAAGUCCGGUGUGAAAACUCGAGGCUUAACCUCGAGAUGUCAUCGGAAACUAUUUGGCUAGAGUCCGGAAGAGGAGAGUGGAAUUCCUGGUGUAGCGGUGAAAUGCGCAGAUAUCAGGAAGAACACCUAUGGCGAAAGCAGCUCUCUGGGACGGUACUGACGCUGAGACGCGAAAGCGUGGGGAGCGAACAGGAUUAGAUACCCUGGUAGUCCACGCCGUAAACGAUGGGUGCUAGGUGUGGGCGGUGUCGACUCCGUCCGUGCCGAAGCUAACGCAUUAAGCACCCCGCCUGGGGAGUACGGCCGCAAGGCUA
rnacentral:rRNA from 1 species